rfam:Oxobacter pfennigii strain DSM 3222 OXPF_contig000027, whole genome shotgun sequence.
AGAAUCCAGUAGCCUGUACCUAGUCCUUGGAACUGAAGUGGUAACACCAAGUUUAAGCGUAGGACGGGGAGCAAACGAGCCGAAACGAAAGUGAAGCUAUUGAGCCACGAAAUAAUUAUCUAAACGAAGAGGCCGAUACUCUCUUUAAGGUAGCAGACAACACUAUAUAAAUCGUAUUGGUGAGAUUUAUAUAACACUUCCGGGGUCUGAGGGCU